rnacentral:rRNA from 1 species
UACGGGGGGGGCAAGCGUUGUUCGGAAUUACUGGGCGUAAAGGGCUCGUAGGCGGCCAACUAAGUCAGACGUGAAAUCCCUCGGCUUAACCGGGGAACUGCAUCUGAUACUGGAUGGCUUGAGAUUGGGAGAGGGAUGCGGAAUUCCAGGUGUAGCGGUGAAAUGCGUAGAUAUCGGGAGGAACACCAGUGGCGAAGGCGACUUCCUGGCCUGUUCUUGACGCUGAGGCGCGAAAGCUAGGGGAGCAAACGGGG